AGCAAUAAGUAUUCCCCCUGGGGGAUACCGUCCCAAGGCUGAAACUCAAAGGGAAUGGCGGGGGGCCGGCCCAGGCGGUGAGCAAUGUGGUUUAUUCGAUGCANCGCGAGGACCCUUACCAGGUCUGGACAUCUGGCGACCUUCUGCGAAAGUAGGGGGUGCCUUCCGGGAGCGCCCAGGACAGGUGGUAGCAUGGUCGUCGUCAAGCUCGCUCCGUGAGAGUUCGGUUAAGUCCCACACCGAGCGCAACCACGGCAAUUAGUUGCUAACAGGUAGUGCUGAGCACUCUAAUGGACCUGCCUGUGACAAGCAGGAGAAUGGUGGGGGCGACGUCAAAUCAUCAUGCCCUGUAUGAUUUGGGGUACACACGUGCUACAAUGGAUGGUACAGAGAGCAGCAAGACUGUGAGGUGGAGCGAAUCUCAAAAAUCCAUUGUCAGUUGGGAUUGGAGUCUGCAACUCGACUCCAUGAAGUCGGAAUCGCUAGUAAUCGCGAUCAGCAUGUCGCGGUGAAUGCGUUACCGGGCCUUGUACACACCGCCCGUCACACCACGAAAGUUGGCAACAGAGGAAGUUGGUGAGGUAACCAGCAAUGGAAGCAGCCUCAGAAGGUGGGGUUGGUAAUUGGGGUGAAGUCGUACCAAGUU
rnacentral:rRNA from 1 species